rnacentral:rRNA from 1 species
UACGAAGGGGGCUAGCGUUGCUCGGAAUUACUGGGCGUAAAGCGCACGUAGGCGGCCAUGAUAGUCAGAUGUGAAAGGCCUGGGCUUAACCCGGGAACUGCAUUUGAUACUGCAUGGCUAGAGUCCAAGAGAGGGUAGUGGAAUUCCCAGUGUAGAGGUGAAAUUCGUAGAUAUUGGGAAGAACACCAGUGGCGAAGGCGGCUACCUGGCUUGGAACUGACGCUCAGGUGCGAAAGCGUGGGGAGCGAACAGG